UCGGACAUUUAUCGCUUCUACACCAUGUAUAUUUCUCACAAUAUGUCACACUGAAAUACAUUGUAUUGUCGCACAUUUUGAUCCAAAUAUAACAUGGAAUAAGACGAACAUUGUCCCACCUGAUUUAUUUGGGAGUGUAUCGUCAGAUAGCAGAUAAGAGUUCAGAUAACACUCACACAAGCAUGGCGUUUUCAAGCACACAUGGAGCUGUUCUUCUGUAUAUAUGUAUGACACUGUAUUUCUGCCUGGUUGCAAGUUCCACCGCAUACGUGAACACGGAUGCCUGUAAGGCACUCAAUGGGAACUGUGUAGACAGUCGACUGGUCAGAUGUGCCGGUCUGGACUUCAAGAUUUGUGGGUCUGAACCGUUUGCUGCUUGCUGCCCUGGAAUAAUGAUUGGCUAGCCGCUUAUCUCAGAAGCAUCGUCCGCAUCAUCCGCCGAGUUAUCAUUAACCUGAAGGCCAUGUUAAUAAUGAUGAUGAUGAUGAUGCCUGUACUUAUAAAUAAAAUAUAAACUCUG